rnacentral:rRNA from 1 species
AAACUUAAAUGAAUUGACGGGACCCCGCACAAGCAGCGGAGCGUGUGGUUUAAUUCGAUGAUACACGAAGAACCUUACCUGGGUUUGACAUGCAAGUGGUAGGGAAGCGAAAGCGGACCGACCCUUCGGGGAGCCUCUACAGGUGUUGCAUGGCUGUCGUCAGCUCGUGUCGUGAGAUGUUCGGUUAAGUCCGCUAACGAGCGCAACCCUCGCUGUGUGUUACAAGUGUCACACGGUACUGCCGGUAUUAAGUCGGAGGAAGGUGGGGAUGACGUCAAGUCAGCAUGACCUUUAUAUUCAGGGCUACACACACGCUACAAUGGUCAGUACAAUAGGUUGCCAAGCCGCGAGGCGGAGCCAAUCCUAAAAAGCUGGCCUCAGUUCAGAUUGCAGUCUGCAACUCGACUGCAUGAAGUUGGAGUUGCUAGUAACCGCAGGUCAGCUAUACUGCGGUGAAUACGUUCCCGGGGAUU